CCAUAUGGGUUAUGUUUGAAUUGGUUAUCAUUUGUUGAGUCUUGUGUGUCACGUUUUUGAUAUUCUCCCUCGCAUCUAUGUUUUUAUGAUCUAAUGCUCAUGACUUUAUGAACAAGACUCCACCUAAAAUUCCUGAAAUCCAUAUUAAAGACGAAAUUUCCUUUUGAUUGCUUCUGCACUGAGAAACGAGCUGAACAAGGCCUUUGUUAUCUUAAGGAGCAUUGCGUAAGGAAGGGUCUUGAAAAAAAUUCUGAUGGUACGUUAAGUUUGUGUGCCUAAGUUGAGAACCAGUUGCAAUCUUACACAUGAGUCCUUCCUGAUAGUAAUACAUAUCCUUGUCAUUAAUCGGUUUCUUGUGAACAAUUUGUAUUUAUUUGGUCAAUAUUCAUUGGAUUUUUAUUCUCAGGUGGUUGUUGGGCUGUGGAUAAUCUCGGUUGUGGGAAAACUGGUUCAACUUCUUGACCGUUGUAUACAUCUGUAAGUAUUAGUACCUAAUAAAAAGUUUUGAAGUUGCAUAAUGGUCUUGUUGAAUCUAAAGUAAGUGUGUGCGUGUGGCAAAACAAAACAGGUUUUGUGUUGUUGCACACGGUACCGAUGAUGUAUGAGAAACAUGAGGAUAAGGUAGAUCCCGUGGCAGAGAAGAGGAUGAAGGAGCUGAAGAAACAUUACGUGGUUUUUGAUGAUAAGGUUCUUUCUAAGAUCCCUCUUGCUGCCCUGAAAGCAAAGUUGGGUUAGAGAAUUCAUAAUGAAGUAACCUCUCUUUCUGUCUUUCCCCUUGACGUUUUGCUCUGUGUCUUGGGCCAUUUCUGUCUCGUCGCUGGGUUUUAAAACAGUCUCUCAAUAGCAGUUGUUACUAAAGGGCUAUGAAUCGUAGUCUAAUCAUUUGACUUG